GCUUGAUAACCAAGUGGUUAGUGCGUUGGACUAUCAAAGCGAAGGAUUCGGGUUCGAAACCCGCACAGAGCG